rnacentral:rRNA from 1 species
GAGUUGUAAUUUGCAGAGGAUGUCAUGGGAUUUGUGUGGGCGCAAGUUCUUUGGAAAAAGACGCCAUGGAGAGUGACAGUCUCGUCCCGUCCCACCACACUUUCCGCCGUAUGACUCCUUCAAAGAGUCGAGUUGUUUGGGAAUGCAGCUCAAAGUGGGACGUAAAUUUGUUCCAAAGCUAAAUACCGGCUAGAGACCGAUAGCGCACAAGUAGAGUGAUCGAAAGAUGAAAAGCACUUUGAAAAGAGAGUUAAAAAGCACGUGAAAUUGUUGAAAGGGAAGCUUAUGCCAUCAGAAAUGGCGUCAAUGUUCAGCCUUUUUGGUGUACUCAUUGAUUGGCCAUGCUAGCAUCAAUUGGGAUAGUCGGAUAAAAGUGUUGGAAAUGUAGCUCCCUCGGGAGUGUUAUAGUCCGACACAGAAUGCGUCUAAUCCCGAUUGAGGACCGCCUUUUUUAGGAUGC